rnacentral:rRNA from 1 species
ACCUUAAAGCUAGCCUACACAAUUAAUUAAACCAAACCUUAUUAAUCUAAUUUACACUAAAACCUCUUACUUAAAACAUUUUUUACUUUUUAGUAUGGGCGACAGAACAAAAUCUUAGCGCAAUAGCUUAUGUACCGCAAGGGAGGGCUGAAAAAGAAAUGAAAUAAAUUAUUAAAGUAAUAAAAAGCAGAGAUUUUUCCUCGUACCUUUUGCAUCAUGAUUUAGCUAGAAAAAAUAGGCAAAAAGACUUUAAGUCUACCCCCCCGAAACUAAACGAGCUACUUCGGAGCAGCAUUAUUAGAGCCAACCCGUCUCUGUGGCAAAAGAGUGGGAAGACUCCCAAGUAGCGGUGAAAAGCCUACCGAGUUUAGUGAUAGCUGGUUAUCCAAGAAAAGAACUUUAGUUCUGCAUUAAUUUUUUAGGGCUAAAUAAGACUUACUUAUUAUAGUAGAAUAUAAGAAUUAAUAGUUAUUUAGAAGAGGUACAGCCCUUCUAAAUCAAGAUACAACUUUAUAAGGUGGGAAAUGAUCAUAAUUUUUAAGGUUUUCUCCUCAGCGGGCCUAAAAGCAGCCACCUGAAAAGUAAGCGUCGCAGCUCAAGCCUAAUAUAAACCUAUAAUUUGGAUAUUUACUCAUAACCCCCUUAACUCUAUUGGAUUAUUUUAUAAAAAUAUAAAAGAACUUAUGCUAAAAUGAGUAAUAAAGAGAAUAUAUUCUCCCGACACAUGUAUAUGUCAGAAAGAAUUAAAUCACUGAUAAUUAAACGACCCCAAAUUGAGGCCAUUAUAAAUUAAUAUUAUUUACUAGAAAAGCCUAUUUUACUGCUCGUUAAUCCUACACAGGGGUGUCUUUAGGAAAGAUUAAAAGAAAAUAAAGGAACUCGGCAAACAUAAACUCCGCCUGUUUACCAAAAACAUCGCCUCUUGUUAAAACAUAAGAGGUCCCGCCUGCCCUGUGACAAUGUUCAACGGCCGCGGUAUUUUGACCGUGCAAAGGUAGCGUAAUCACUUGUCUUUUAAAUGAAGACCUGUAUGAAAGGCACCACGAGAGUUUAACUGUCUCUAUUUUCUAAUCAAUGAAAUUGAUCUAUUCGUGCAGAAGCGAAUAUAAUAACAUAAGACGAGAAGACCCUAUGGAGCUUCAAACACUUAGACUAAUUAUGUAAUUUUUUUACACCUUUGGGUACAAAGAAAAAUAUAAUAUUUCUAGUUUAAUUGUUUUUGGUUGGGGUGACCAAGGGGAAAAGAAAAUCCCCCUUAUCGACCGAGCACUUAGUGCUUAAAAAUUAGAAUGACAGCUCUAAUUAAUAAAACAUUUAUCGAAAAAUGACCCAGGAUUUCCUGAUCAAUGAACCAAGUUACCCUAGGGAUAACAGCGCAAUCCUUUCCCAGAGUUCCUAUCGACGAAAGGGCUUACGACCUCGAUGUUGGAUCAGGACACCCUAAUGGUGCAACCGCUAUUAAGGGUUCGUUUGUUCAACGAUUAAUAGUCCUACGUGAUCUGAGUUCAGACCGGAGAAAUCCAGGUCAGUUUCUAUCUAUGAAUAUACUUU